rnacentral:rRNA from 1 species
CUACGGGGCGCAGCAGUGGGGGAUAUUGCACAAUGGGCGAAAGCCUGAUGCAGCAACGCCGCGCGAAGGAAGACGGAUUUCGGUCUGUAAACUUCUAUCAGCUGGGAAGAAAAUGACGGUACCAGACUAAGAAGCCCCGGCUAACUACGUGCCAGCAGCCGCGGUAAUACGUAGGGGGCAAGCGUUAUCCGGAUUUACUGGGUGUAAAGGGUACGUAGGCGGUCGCUUAAGUCAGAUGUGAAAGCCCGAAGCUCAACUUCGGGACUGCAUUUGAAACUGGGUGACUAGAGCACAGGAGAGGAAAGCGGAAUUCCUAGUGUAGCGGUGAAAUGCGUAGAUAUUAGGAAGAACACCAGUGGCGAAGGCGGCUUUCUGGACUGUAACUGACGCUGAGGUACGAAAGCGUGGGGAGCGAACAGGAUUAGAUACCCGGGUAGUC